AUUCCCUAUGAUGGUAAUAACCAUGCUAAUACUGAUGUCUUGUGACUGAAUCAAAGUUAUGUGUCUGAGGGAAUU
rnacentral:snoRNA from 14 species